rnacentral:sRNA from 1 species
UUAUAAUUUAGGGACCAAAAACAUAGUUAUCUGUUAAACCAUUGAAGUAUGAAUAUCAGAGAAAAACUUUGGUGUUGAAUCCCUUAGAACAAGAAAUCUCAAAAUGACAACGGGGAUGCUAAUCAAUUAUGUCAUACAAAAGAACAAAAUGAGGUCUGCAGGAGCUUCCUUAUUGAUCAGAUCCAAGUUGCCAAUUGAUGAGGUUAGUUCCAUAAGCUUCAUAAUCAAUUAAAGCUGGACAGCAAAUUCAUUAGAUCCAUUCAACCGGUUUUUUGAGUUCAGAUAUGUCAGUCUAAGUGAUUAGGAUUAUGUUGCUAAUUGAUUAUUGUUUCCUUUUAAUGUUGAACUAACUGAUUAGCAGCUGAAAAAUACUAAAGAGCUCUAGACUCAAUUUUGCAAGAAAAACAACAGACUACCCAUCAGGGAGACUGAUAGGUACCCAGAAUUUAUUACUUCCACAAAGAACUCCAAGACAGGUUCUUUGAUGAUCUUGCAAAGAGACCAGACAGUUUGGUCUGCACUAGAAUGUAAAACACACACAACACCAGGUCUUUUGAGAGGACAUGUCUCUCCCUUCCCUUU